GACGAACCGUGCGAACGUUGUUCGGAAUCACUGGGCUUAAAGCGUGUGUAGGCGGAUUUGUAAGUACCUUGUGAAAUCCCACGGCUCAACCGUGGAACUGCUCGGUAUACUGCUUAUCUUGAGCCACUUAGGGGCUACCGGAACAAAUGGUGGAGCGGUGAAAUGCGUAGAUAUCAUCAGGAACACCGGAGGCGAAGGCGGCUUACUGGGGCCGUUUCUGACGCUGAGGAACGAAAGCCAGGGGAGCGAACGGG
rnacentral:rRNA from 1 species